rnacentral:pre_miRNA from 1 species
CGAACCACCUGUUGAUUGUACUUCAUCAGGUGCUCUGGUAACGUUGAAAAUCCCGGCACUUGUUGGAGUGCAAUUCACUUGCUGGCAUC